GUGCUUGCUUCCGCAGCACAUAUUCUAAAAUUGGGAUAAUACGGAGAAGAUUAGCACGGCCCCUGUGCAAGGAUGACAUGCAAAUUUAUGAAGCAUUCCUAUUUUUG